UGGAAGUAAAAGUCGUAACAAGGUCUCCGUUGGUGAACCAGCGGAGGGAUCAUUACCGAGUUAUACAACUCAUCAACCCUGUGAACAUACCUAAAACGUUGCUUCGGCGGGAACAGACGGCCCUGUAACAACGGGCCGCCCCCGCCAGAGGACCCCUAACUCUGUUUUUAUAAUGUUUUUCUGAGUAAACAAGCAAAUAAAUUAAAACUUUCAACAACGGAUCUCUUGGCUCUGGCAUCGAUGAAGAACGCAGCGAAAUGCGAUAAGUAAUGUGAAUUGCAGAAUUCAGUGAAUCAUCGAAUCUUUGAACGCACAUUGCGCCCGCCAGUAUUCUGGCGGGCAUGCCUGUUCGAGCGUCAUUACAACCCUCAGGCCCCCGGGCCUGGCGUUGGGGAUCGGCGGAAGCCCCCUGUGGGCACACGCCGUCCCUCAAAUACAGUGGCGGUCCCGCCGCAGCUUCCAUUGCGUAGUAGCUAACACCUCGCAACUGGAGAGCGGCGCGGCCAUGCCGUAAAACACCCAACUUCUGAAUGUUGACCUCGAAUCAGGUAGGAAUACCCGCUGAACUUAAGCAUAUCAAUAAGCGGAGGA
rnacentral:rRNA from 1 species